rnacentral:lncRNA from 1 species
UUUUUUUUUUGCUAAACUUUUUUUGGAUAAUUUAAAAAUUACCCUUUUGUUUUUAAACCGCUCAUGUCUUUAUAUUUAAAGUCAGUUACUUGUAGACAUCAUUAUAGUUGAGUCUUGAUAUUUCUUAUCCAAUCGAUAACCUCUGUCUUUUAAUGAGGUGCUUUUAAAAAAUAUUGCAUUAUACUCGAUAUGUAACAUUGUAUUAGUUUUAAGUGUACAACAUAAUGAUUGGAUCUAUGUAAUAAUGGAGUGUUUAAAUGAUUACAUUCAAUGUAAUUACUGAUGUGAUUGGGUUUAAAUUUACCACUUGGGUAGUUUUCCAUUGGUCCCCAUCUAUUCUUUGCUCUCAUUUUCCUUUGUUUUUUAUUCAUUUGUAGUAAUUUGAUCUUUUUAUGAUUCUAUUUUAUCCCCACUAUUGGCUUACUAGCUAUACUUCCUUUAAACUUUUUUUUUUUUUUUUUUUGUGGUUGCUCUAAUCCUAAGUGAUCAUAAUCUACCUUUAAAGAAUAUUUAACAUUUCAUGCAACUAAACCUUUUUUUUUUUUAGUGGUUGCUCUAAUCCUAAGUGAUCAUAAUCUACCUUUAAAGAAUAUUUAACAUUUCAUGCAACGUGAAAGAAACUUACAACAGUAUACUUCUACUUUCUUCUUCUUUUCCUUUGUGUAUUUGUUGUCACACAUUUUGCUUCUACAUGUGUUAAAAACCCCACACACUUUAUUAUGUUUGCUUUAAAUAGUCAAAUAUCUUUUAAAGAGAUUAGCUAGGUAAAAGAACUUUUCAUUUUUACCCACACAUUCACCAUUUCUGGCAUUAUUUAUUCCUUUAUGGGGAUUAAAUUUUCCAGCUGUUACCAUUUUUCCUUCGCCCUGAAGAUUUCCUUUAACAUUCUUGCUGUUGGGCUGGUCAUGAAUAUUUUGUUUUUGUUUUACCAGGAAAGUCUGUCUUUCACCUUCAGUGUUUCCUUUUCUUCCUUUGUAAAUGUAUUAUUACAUUUACAGUGUUGGAACA